rnacentral:tRNA from 1 species
UGGGAAGGUACUCAGUGGUAGAGCACUUGCCUAGCAUGCAAGGCCCUGGGUUCCAUCCCCAGCACCCCAA